UCGUUCAAUUCUGUCUUGUUCAUUGGCUGAUUAUAACGAUGGUGAUCUGAGGGCUAACAGUCACUGUUUGCGGUUGGAGCAUCAUCAAGAUUCACAAUCUUUUAAGGCUUUUGUGGGGCUUGUCCCUUUCUAAUUCGUUCCAGACGGCCUUUGAUCUGGGAAUCUUGAUGAUGCUGCAGCGGCAAUAAAUGGCUAAUACUAGCCAGGUUAAUUACUGAAGACGGUGCACUAAUUUUUCGUAUCAAAAAAGGAGGUAUGUCUGUACUUUUUGGUGGAAAGUUGGGUAACCCCAGAAUCAUGACGUACUAUUGCUCGAUCUAUUAUAUCUGGGUAUUCUCUUUUUUCUACUUUUUCUCUCUGAUCUAGAUCUUGAUAUUGAUUUCGAUCUGAAUAUUAUCUAUCUAUACCAGCGCCAGAUCAGUGACCAGUUUUUUAUAAUAUGAAUGUGUUUGGACUAUACAUAAAGCACAACAUAUACAAUCAAUUUGGUUCUUUCGUACACUUCAAUUAAGGUAUUUCUUAUAUAUGAUUGCAUUUAGGUUUGUUCUCCGGGAUUGUAUUAUUUAGGACUUCUGGCCAGGUUUCCAUACGAGAGAAAAGUGAUCAUCUUCUUCAAAUCCGCUUCUUGUUGGGGACCCAUUCAGUUUCCUACGUCUUUCCUAUUCUAAUCUCGACUGCACUUGGUUGGCAAUAAUUAUAAACUGAGAUUUUUAUUGAUGGUUCUUUCUAGUCCGAUUAAGCGAGAACAUAGCUAGGCUGGAGCAAUAUAUAAUGCUUGUACUAAGAACACAGACUGUUAAUAUUUAAGCCAUUUGAUUUUA